rnacentral:rRNA from 1 species
AGAGUUAAACAGUACGUGAAAUUGUUGAAAGGGAAACGAUUGAAGUCAGUCGUGCUGGCGCGAAAUCAGCUCGACCACUUGGGGAUCACGGGCCGUAGCGAGCCUCAAAACCGUUACGACUUGUGAUUGCUUGGUGGCCUGGUGCACUUUCCGACCGGCAGGCCAGAAUCAGUUUCUGAUGCGGGAAAAAGGCCCUUGGAAGGUGGCCUCCUCGGAGGUGUUAUAGACUUGGGCUUCCAUACCGCGUCGGAGACUGAGGUUCGCAGCUCAUGCUCCUCUUUUGUUGGGGCGAACACACCUGGUGUCUGAUCGGGGCCGUGUGGCUGGCAGCUUGCUGACUGUCGCGCGGUCCAUUCCUGGUCACCGCGCUAGAGUCGUGAUUCCCUUGAGCUUGGGAUUCUGGCUUAAUGGUUUCAAACGACC